rnacentral:rRNA from 1 species
UACGAAGGGGGCUAGCGUUGUUCGGAAUUACUGGGCGUAAAGCGUAUGCAGGCGGACUUUUAAGUCGGGGGUGAAAUCCCGAGGCUCAACCUCGGAACUGCCUUCGAUACUGGAAGUCUUGAGUCCGGGAGAGGUGAGUGGAACUCCGAGUGUAGAGGUGAAAUUCGUAGAUAUUCGGAAGAACACCAGUGGCGAAGGCGGGCUCACUGGCCCGGUACUGACGCUGAGAUACGAAAGCGUGGGGAGCAAACAGG